rnacentral:misc_RNA from 1 species
UGCCUCCGGGCGCCACCUCCCACCCGUGACUACCUAACACUGUUGCUUCGGCGGGGAGCCCCCCAGGGGCGAGCCGCCGGGGACCACUGAACUUCAUGCCUGAGAGUGAUGCAGUCUGAGCCUGAAUACAAAUCAGUCAAAACUUUCAACAAUGGAUCUCUUGGAUCCGGCAUCGAUGAAGAACGCAGCAAA